AACGAACGCUGGCGGCAUGCCUAACACAUGCAAGUCGAACGAGACCUUCGGGUCUAGUGGCGCACGGGUGCGUAACGCGUGGGAACCUGCCCUUAGGUUCGGAAUAACUCCCCGAAAGGGGUGCUAAUACCGGAUAAUUUCUUCGGACCAAAGAUUUAUCGCCUGUGGAUGGGCCCGAGUUGGAUUAGCUAGUUGGUAGGGUAAAAGCCUACCAAGGCGACGAUCCAUAGCUGGUCUGAGAGGAUGAUCAGUCACACUGGAACUGAGACACGGCCCAGACUCGUACGGGCGGCAGCAGUGGGGAAUAUUGGACAAUGGGCGAAAGCCUGAUCCAGCAAUGCCGCGUGAGUGAUGAAGGCCUUAGGGUUGUAAAGCUCUUUUAGCCGGGAUGAUAAUGACAGUACCGGGAGAAUAAGCACCGGCUAACUCCGUG
rnacentral:rRNA from 1 species